rnacentral:rRNA from 1 species
GAUGAACGCUGGCGGCGUGCCUAAUACAUGCAAGUCGAACGAAGAUCUAGCUUGCUAGAUCUUAGUGGCGAACGGGUGAGUAAUACAUAAAUAAUCUGCCCAUAUGACUGGGAUAACUAUUGGAAACGAUAGCUAAUACCGGAUAGGUUGAUCGGAGGCAUCUCUGAUGAAUUAAAGUAGGAUUUCUACACAAAUGGAUGAGUUUGUGGCGCAUUAGUCAGUUGGUGGGGUAACGGCCUACCAAGACGAUGAUGCGUAGCCGACCUGAGAGGGUGACCGGCCACACUGGGACUGAGACACGGCCCAGACUCCUACGGGAGGCAGCAGUAGGGAAUUUUCGGCAAUGGGCGCAAGCCUGACCGAGCAACGCCGCGUGAGUGAUUAAGGCCUUCGGGUUGUAAAGCUCUGUUGUAAGGGAAGAACAUUCAGGAUAGGAAAUGAUCUUGAACUGACGGUACCUUACCAGAAAGCCACGGCUAACUACGUGCCAGCCGCCGCCGUAA